UGAGGUCCUUCUUAGCGACAUUUUGACCCAAGCAUCAAACUGGGAAAAGUUCUCGUCAAAACAACCACAACCAAACAAUGCCUUAUCACUUUGCAUUUCUAUGAAAGAUGUAAGAUGGUAGAACUCAAUCCAUUCUUCUCCAAGUUGGCAGAUGCCAAUUAGUAGAUCAAAAGUUUUAAUGGAGAUCUUACAGAUGUAAAAAAGAUUAUUCUCUUGUUGAGGCUCAAACAGAUGUGCAAGGCACCUGAAUUGGAAGCUCCACUUGCUGUAGAUUCAUGGCAGAUCCUUCUUUGAUUUCAUCUUGGUCCGGUAUGAACAGUUUGCGCACACAAUCUAACAAGUCUACAGCGAGAUUGUUGUCCGACAACACGAGGGGUUAUGUAAAUAGCCUACUGUUCUUCCAAACAAAGUCCAAAUAUGGUAAAGAAAAGCAAAAGAAAAAUAGAUUAUAGUGACAAAAUCUGACCCCAAUCUUGCUCUAUUUAAGGCAUCUCCCACUUCCCCUUCGCUCCCUCACUCCGACCACACUUUUGGCCUACCAAUCCUCCACCUCCAAACCAGAAUCAUACAUCACGCAGCUCCACUUCCCCUUCUUUCUAACCAAUCUCAGCUCGCCCCUCGAGCACUACACAGUAGCAGCAAUGAUGUCGAAGCAUGCGGCCUCCCUGCUUUUGGCUUUUCUCCUCCUUGCCUCCCUCACUCAAGCAGCCAGGCCUCACCCAGCAGAUUCAAGAAACGACCAAGGGGAGGUUGCGGAUGAGGCUGGUUUUGAUCAGACAACAGAUGAAGAAUGUGGGGGAAUCGGCGAGGACGAGUGUCUGAUGAGGAGAACUCUUGUAGCUCGUACAGACUACAUAUACACCCAGGGGAAGAACCCCUGAGGGGUGCAGAAGUGGUUCUACUCCUAGUUAUUGGUGCUGUUUAUCUCGCGUAUAAUACCUCUGUUUGGGAGCGUCUUGUAGAUUUGUGUUUGUGCCUUCUGUUCUUCCCUUGUGACCUUCUCAAGAUUGCCUAUGUAAAGAGGGUUAAGGAUAAAUGCUACAAGAUUUUGUGCA